CCCCUGGAUCAAUGUCCCCAAUUGCUUUCGAGGCCCCCUUCGCCCUAGGACUCUUCAGCGCCCACUGCGUGGCGGACUAUGGCCUAAACCGUCGCCUGAGAGGAGACCCGCGCCAGGCAGUGGGGCGUAUAAAUUGGUUGAUGGUGAUAUAGUUAAGAAACGUAGCCGUUAAUGCUCAGCUGCGGAGCCAGUCCUCUUGCUGGUGUGCUUAAGAUGGGAUAGGACAAGUGUGUCGGCAAACGUGGCGUCCCACACCAAUGCCCCGCCCAUACUCCAAGGGAUGAGAGUCAUUCCGUUCGGGCGUUUCAUCAGUACGCAACAAGCCGCUCAGCUCGAGUAUAGCGGGCACGUUAACCGUGGCUAACGCCCGGCUAAUUAAUUAUCCACUUCUAUUACUUUUUAGGAAAUUUAUCGUUUCCCCUUAACGAAUAAAGAAACGGCCUCGUGAACUUUAUAAAUUAUAAUGUUUCAUAAUUUCAUAAAACAAUUGAACAAUUUGAAAUCGCUGACAUGUGACAUUCCACAUAUCCAUAUCCUCCAUAUUUGCAUAACACAAAUUUGU